rnacentral:tRNA from 1 species
GCCGCUUUAGCUCAGUUGGUAGAGCACCCGCCUUGUAAGCGGUAGGUCGUCAGUUCGAGUCCGACAAGCGGCACCA